rnacentral:rRNA from 1 species
AGUGAACGCUGGCGGUAGGCCUAACACAUGCAAGUCGAACGGCAGCACAGUAAGAGCUUGCUCUUACGGGUGGCGAGUGGCGGACGGGUGAGGAAUACAUCGGAAUCUACUUUUUCGUGGGGGAUAACGUAGGGAAACUUACGCUAAUACCGCAUACGACCUACGGGUGAAAGCAGGGGAUCUUCGGACCUUGCGCGAUUGAAUGAGCCGAUGUCGGAUUAGCUAGUUGGCGGGGUAAAGGCCCACCAAGGCGACGACCCGUAGCUGGUCUGAGAGGAUGAUCAGCCAAACUGGAACUUGAACACGGUCCAGACUCCUAAGGGAGGCAGCAGUGGGGAAUAUUAGGAAAUGGGGGAAAGCCUGAAUCAGACAAAACGGGUGGGUGAAAGAGGGCUUCGGGUUGGAAAACCCUUUUGUUGGGAAAGAAAAGCAGCAGGUUAAUACCCCGCUGUUCUGACGGUACCCAAAGAAUAAGCACCGGCUAACUUCGUG